rnacentral:rRNA from 1 species
UACGAAGGGGGCUAGCGUUGCUCGGAAUCACUGGGCGUAAAGGGUGCGUAGGCGGGUCUUUAAGUCAGGGGUGAAAUCCUGGAGCUCAACUCCAGAACUGCCUUUGAUACUGAGGAUCUUGAGUUCGGGAGAGGUGAGUGGAACUGCGAGUGUAGAGGUGAAAUUCGUAGAUAUUCGCAAGAACACCAGUGGCGAAGGCGGCUCACUGGCCCGAUACUGACGCUGAGGCACGAAAGCGUGGGGAGCAAACAGGAUUAGAU